GACGAACGCUGGCGGCGUGCUUAACACAUGCAAGUCGAACGGAAAGGCCCAGCUUGCUGGGUGCUCGAGUGGCGAACGGGUGAGUAACACGUGGGUGAUCUGCCCCUAACUUCGGGAUAAGCUUGGGAAACUGGGUCUAAUACCGGAUAGGACAAUCGUUUAGUGUCGGUUGUGGAAAGUUUUUUCGGUUAGGGAUGAGCCCGCGGCCUAUCAGCUUGUUGGUGGGGUAAUGGCCUACCAAGGCGUCGACGGGUAGCCGGCCUGAGAGGGUGGACGGCCAAAUUGGGAAGGAGAGAAGGCCCAGACCCCUACGGGAGGGAGCAGGGGGGAAUAUUGCAAAAGGGGCGGGAGCCGGAUGCAGCGAAGCCGGGGGGGGGAGGAGGGCCUUGGGGUGGUAAACCCUUUUCGAAAGGGAGGAAGCUUUGGGGACGGUACCGGUAAAAGAAGCACCGGAUAACUACGU
rnacentral:rRNA from 1 species